AGUAGAAAUUAUUUGAUUUGAUGCAAAUAAAAUGCAUUAAAAUAUUUUAAUUGAGUUUGAAAGGUAGUAUUUCAAAUACUCUCUCUUAACACAUAUAGGGAAAUUCAUAAAUUAGGUGAUGGGCUAGUUGGUAAAAGGCGAGGGGAUGCAGGCCACAUGGCGAGGGUAAAAUGAACAAGUGAUGCGACGGAGGGUAAGGGUGUCAAAAGUUGACAUUUACCCGAUAAGUCAACUUGGCCUAAACUCGACUCGAAAAAUCUAGAUUCAAGUUGACCUGAAUAAUUCUCGGGUCCAAUUUGGGUUAGGAAUUCUAAUCCAUUUAAUAUUUUUUGUCUGAUUUGGGUUGACCCGCCAAGUUGAAAUCACUUCAAAACUAAUCUGCUAACUGGAAAUGGACUCAAAAUCAACCUGAAUAGCCAUUAUGUCUUAUGUUAAACAUGUUAAAGUGAGUCGGGUUCAAGUUAGACUUAUUGACUCAUUUAAUAUUCAAGUCGGCUUUGUGUCAAAUAGUUUUUGGUCAGGUCGAGUUUAGGUCAAACAAUUUUGGGUUAUGUCAAAUUCGGAUCAAACCUGAACACAGACCCAAUUUGACAUCCCUAAACGAGGACUGGAGUGGCGUGGCACGAGCGGAUAAGAGGAUGACACAUCACGAGAUUUGAAAAUCAACCAAUUUAGGUGAUUUCCAAAUGUAAGGAAACUAUGAAUUUUGAGAUAAUUAGAACAUGCCAAAAAUUUAAUUUGUAUUUCUUUUGCUUUAAGGCAGAAAAAAUGAAAUACAUUACAACUUUUAAUGCUUCCAAACAAAUCCUCAUAUAUUUAGAGGUUUUCACAAUGAUUUCACCUCAAAAAGUUGCUACAAGACUAAAAAAACAAAAUAAAAGCCUCCCUAACAAUCAAAACAUGAUCCAUAAAACCUACCAAAAAUUUUGAUGACUGAAUCUGCAAGAGUUAUAAUUUCAUGAUAGCUGCCCAUUGUUUAGAUCCCCUCAAUUAUUACAGCAACAGUCACUUACCCUUUUCCCUUAUAUAUUCUCAAAAAAAAAA